rnacentral:lncRNA from 1 species
UCACAAGGGAGAAGGAUAGGGGCAGGUUGCUGUUAAUGGCUGUUAGCAUGCCAAUUGUGAACCGCAAGCAUACGGAUCAGGUGUAGCUCUUCCUCAGAGUAUUCCCCCAAGGUUUAUCAAUUCGUGGAGCUUAUAGCACAAGAUCUAUUUCAACUAGCAUUAUUAGUAUUAACUUGGUGUUUAUAUGAAAGAUUCAAAUCCAAUCUACUAAGCUUGUACAGAUAGAUAAUAGAUAGAGCAAAGGUAACCAAUCUAGAGCAACCUAGACUAUGCAUAUGUUGUAAUUCUAAGCAUGGAUAGCAAAGCAAUACAAAUAUGAUCUUAUUAAGCAUCUUUAAAUCUAAAACAUCUAGUCCGGAUCCCGAAACUCCCCA